GACGAACGCUGGCGGCGUGCUUAACACAUGCAAGUCGAGCGGUAAGGCCCUUUCGGGGGUACACGAGCGGCGAACGGGUGAGUAACACGUGGGUGACCUGCCCUCAGCUCUGGGAUAAGCCUGGGAAACCGGGUCUAAUACCGGAUAUGACUCCAUGACGCAUGUUGUGGGGUGGAAAGCCUUGUGCGGCUGAGGAUGGGCCCGCGGCCUAUCAGCUUGUUGGUGGGGUGAUGGCCUACCAAGGCGACGACGGGUAGCCGGCCUGAGAGGGCGACCGGCCACACUGGGACUGAGACACGGCCCAGACUCCUACGGGAGGCAGCAGUGGGGAAUCUUGCGCAAUGGGCGAAAGCCUGACGCAGCGACGCCGCGUGAGGGAUGACGGCCUGGUGUAAG
rnacentral:rRNA from 1 species